ACAUAAAACUAACCAAUGGCUGGAAAGCCCCUAUGCCCUACCCAAGCUGUCCCUCCUCCCUCGCAGCUGAGCUUUUCUUUCAGUCCUUCACUGAGGAGCCAAAGGGAAUCAAUUCCACAAGUUGAGGAGAACAGGAGAUGGAGAAAGCAAGUGGAAGAGAGUCCAUUGCUCUGUCCACAGUGGAGACUGGCACAGAGAACCCGGGGCUGGAGCUCAUGGAGGAGUCAGUGGCCUUUCACCAAAGCAACAAGUUUCUGCAAAACACACACCAGAUUGUUCAAGAAGAUCCUGUUGGGCCUGUUGUGUUUGGCCUAUGCUGCCUAUUUCCUGGCAGCUUGCAUCUUGAAUUUCCAGAGGGCACUGGCUUUGUUUGUCAUCACCUGCUUGGUAAUCUUUGCCCUGGUUCUCCCGUUUCUGAAAAAGCUACUGGGCAAAAAAUUAACAAGAUGUCUGAAGCCCUUUGAAAACUCCCGCCUGAGGCUUUGGAUGAAAUGGGUGUUUGCAGGAGUCUCCUUGGUUGUCCUUAUAUUGUGGUUGGCUCUAGACACAGCCCAAAGGCCAGAGCAGCUCAUCUCCUUCGCAGGAAUCUGCAUGUUCAUCCUCAUCCUCUUUGCCUGCUCCAAACACCACAGUGCAGUGUCCUGGAGGGCGGUGUUUUGGGGCCUAGGUCUUCAGUUUGUCUUUGGGGUCUUGGUCAUCAGAACUGAUCUUGGAUAUAAUGCAUUUAAAUGGCUGGGAGAGCAGGUUCAGAUUUUCUUGAAUUACACUGUGGCUGGCUCCAGUUUUGUCUUUGGGGAUAUGCUGGUGAAGGAUGUCUUUGCUUUUCAGACCUUACCAAUUAUCAUUUUCUUUGGAUGUGUAAUGUCCAUUCUUUACUACCUGGGCCUUGUGCAAUGGGUAGUUCAGAAGGUCGCCUGGUUUUUGCAAAUCACUAUGGGCACCACCGCCACAGAGACCCUGGCUGUGGCAGGAAACAUCUUUGUGGGUAUGACAGAGGCACCUCUGCUCAUCCGUCCCUACCUUGCGGACAUGACACUCUCUGAAAUCCAUGCGGUGAUGACUGGAGGGUUCGCCACCAUUUCUGGCACUGUGUUGGGAGCCUUCAUAUCCUUUGGGGUUGAUGCAUCAUCCCUGAUUUCUGCCUCUGUGAUGGCUGCCCCUUGUGCUCUUGCCUUGUCAAAACUGGCAUAUCCAGAAGUGGAGGAGUCCAAGUUCAAGAGUGAGGAGGGGGUAAAACUGCCCUGUGGGAAGGAGAGGAAUGUCCUGGAAGCUGCAAGCAACGGAGCCACAGAUGCCAUAGGCCUUGCUGCUAAUGUAGCAGCCAACCUGGUUGCCUUUUUGGCUGUGUUAGCCUUCAUCAAUGCUGCCCUCUCCUGGCUAGGGGAAUUGGUGGACAUACAGGGGCUCACUUUCCAGGAUCUCUCUUUCACUCAGGUCAUCUGCUCCUAUAUCCUAAGGCCCAUGGUUUUCAUGAUGGGUGUAGAGUGGACAGAUUGUCCAAUGGUGGCUGAGCUGGUGGGAAUCAAGUUCUUCACAAAUGAGUUUGUGGCCUAUCAGCAACUGUCUCAAUAUAAGAACAAACGUCUCUCUGGAGUGGAAGAGUGGAUUGAGGGAGAGAAACAGUGGAUUUCUGUGAGAGCUGAAAUCAUUACAACAUUUUCACUCUGUGGAUUUGCCAAUCUUAGUUCCAUAGGCAUCACACUAGGAGGCUUGACAUCAAUAGUACCUCACCGGAAGAGUGACUUGUCCAAGGUUGUGGUCAGAGCCCUCUUCACAGGGGCCUGUGUAUCCCUUAUCAGUGCCUGUGUGGCAGGAAUCCUCUAUGUCCCCAGGGGAGCUGAAGCUGACUGUGUCUCCUUCCUAAACACAAGUUUCACCAAUAGAACCUACGAGACCUACAUGUGCUGCAGAGGGCUCUUUCAGAGAGCUUUCCAACACAUUAGAGUUUUCUCAUUUGGCUUCUCUCCAUCUAGUCUGGCUCCAUCAGAGAUCUGACUCUUUUCUUCCUAAACCAAUCUGCUAGAAGGACACUGUAUAAUCAGCCUGGAGGAGGGCACACAAUCUCAAGGAUAAGAAGCUUCUGGAAAAUGCAAGCCCAGUUGUUUUGGUGGAUCCUUCUGAAUGAUUAUGCACAGGGACAUGGAUGAAUCUGGAGAACGUCAUCCUCAGCAAACUGACACAAGAACAGAAAAUGAAACACCACAUAUUCUCACUCAUAGGAAGCAAGCUGCCACGUUGUGAGCAGCCCUUAUGAAGAAGUCUGCAAGGCAAGAAACUGAAACUUCUGGCCAACAUCAAGCGAGGAACUGAUGCCUGCCAACAACAACAGGAGUGAGGUUUCGCCACCUUGACCAGGCUGUGAACUCCUAACUUCAAGUGAUCUGCCUGCCUUGGCCUCCCAAAGUGCUGAGAUUACAGGAGCCAAGAGGAAGUCUCUCAAAACUAGUAUGGAAAGGUGUUUUCCCCACAUCAAUCAAUCCAGAUUCAGAGACAUUCUAUUAGUGACAUAUACCCCUUUCUCCCCGUAAAAUAAAGUGUUUUGUGUACUAACAACAUAACUUUAAAAAAAGUAAAAUAGCAUUCUGCAUUUUUAUAAAACUUCAUAAAAAGUCAUAUUGAAACCUCCUUUGCAAAAAUUAUAACAGUGAGAGAAAUCUCACCUGACUCCAUCUUGCUUCUAACCUCACAUGCUAACUGCCUUCCCUCUCCCUGAGCAUAGGCCAAGCUAACUAUGGGAGGAAUUUAGGGUAUAGUUUUGUUUUGUUUUGUUGUUGUUGUUGUUGUUGUUGUUGUUGUUUAGACAGAGUCUCAUUCUGUCACCCAGGAUGGAGUGCAGUGGCACCAUCAUAGCUCACAGCACCCUCAACCUCCUGGGCUCAAAUGAUCCUCCCACCUUAGUCUCCCAAGUAGCUGAGACUCAGGCAUGUGCCAACACACCCAGAUAAUUUUUAAAUUUUUUGUAGACAUGGAGUCUCACUAUACUGUCCAGGCUGGUCUUGUACUCCUGGGCUUGAGUGAUCUCCCCACCUUGAUCUCCCAAAGUGCUGGGAUUGCAGACAUAAACCAUUUCACCCAGCCAGCUUAUAGUUUAACUUUGAAGAAAGGAUGGUAAUAGUCCUUCCCCAAACUGACCCCAUCUGGGGAGUUAAACUACCUUUGUAAGGCUAAUGAAAGGCCGCAAGGUUAAGAUUAUGGGAGGGACCUGAAUUUUUCUAAAAUGUGGGCAUGGUGUUGUUCCCUAGCUUGGUUUUUCUAUAGUUCUUUACUGCUCAGAGGUGAUGUAGUUAGAGAUCACAAGAUUUGUAACUUCCUGAGUUGCUCCUAUAGAUAAUUUACUAUUGUGGAACCUCAGAUUAGUUUUUGAGAUAUUUUUCAGACUUUUGCAUUCUGGCAACUAGCUGAGUCCACCUGGACCUGUGACUCAUACCAAGGAACUAACUGAACCAGUCCUGUGACACCCCACCCAGAGAUUGACUCGACAAAUAAAUACUGUUUUGGACAUGCCUAUGAUUUGAUUCUAUUCUCAGCUAAUCAGAAGCACUCAUUCCCUAGCCCCCUGCCUGCCAAAUUAUGCUUAAAAAACCAAAUUAUGUGAGCCACUGUGCCUAGCUUCCAAGCUUUCAGGGAAGUGGAUUUGAGAAAUGUCUCCUGUCCAUCCACUCAGCUGCCUUGCAAUAAUUGAACUCUUUCUCUACUGCAACAUGCUGUCUCAUUGUAUGGGCUUUUCUGUGCAGUGAGCAAGAAGAUUCCAUUGGGCUGUAAUAGUAUUUCAAACUGUACAGUCACCAGAAGUACAGAUUUACCAAAAAUGCACAUACUUCACUUGAGAUCUCCAGCACCUUCGGUUUUCUGUGCCUUCUCUAUUCUGACAUCUUCAUUUUAUGCAGGGUUAUUCACCUUUUUGUCAGUGUUGGCUCUUCUCCCCUUUGGAUACUUUCUCUCCCUUCUUUGUAGGGGCAUUUUUAGGCUUCAGCUCUGGCUUUGUCAGAGCGUGCUUAGCAGGCAGCCUGUGGAUCUUCCCUGUGGUUUGUCCUUUAUCUUGGCCUUAUCUUCUUUGGCAUUCCCCUCAGCCUUUCUCUUGGGCAUUGGGGGCAAUGGUGGCAACAUAUAGGUGCUGGCUGCGGGGAUGCAGUAGUGCAUGGGGAUGCAGUGGUGCAUGGGCUUUGGUCAGCCUAGGGGACGUUCUUACCUCUUUUUCACACUGCUCCUAUAAUUACUGCUUUUUGCCUUCUUUCUUUUUCUUUCUUUCCUUCCUUCCUUCCUUCCUUCCUUCCUUCCUUCCUUCCUUCCUUCCUUCCUUCCUUCUGUCCUUCUUUCUUUCUUUCUUUCUUUUCUUUCUUUCUGAUGGAGCCUCACUCUGUCUUCCAGGCUGGAAUGCAGUAGUGUGAUCUGAGCUCACUGCAGCCUCCACCUCCCAGGCUCAAGUGAUUCUCCUGCCUCAGCCUCCUGAGUAGCUGGGACUACAGACAUGCACCACCAUGACCAGUGUGGGAUUUCACCAUGUUGGCCAGGCUGGUUUUGAACUCCUGACCUGAGGUGAUCCAUCUGCCUCGGCUUCCCAAAGUGCUGGAAUUACAGGUGUGAGCCACUGUGCCUGGCCUCACAGUUUUCUUAAUCUGGAUUCAAUAAUCUUAUUCACAAGAUAAUUGUAGGGGAGAAAAGAUGCUUCCUUUUACCCUUCCAGGUUCUGUGACUGCCUGAGAAUUAAAUUGAGAGACAGAUUAACAGGAGAAGAACAGUUUUAAUUACAUACAUAUUCAUGGGAAUUUCACAAAAAUAUGAAACUCAAGGAGGCAGCCAGAUGAUUGAGACUUACAUAUCAUCCUGAGCUACAGAAAGAAAUAGGGGUUUAGAGGCUUCUGUUGAGGGGGAGGCAAAUCAUGGGAAAGGGAGAAGAGGAAAUGUGUGAUAAAUAAAGUUUGCCAUAUGCAGCUAAGCCUCUCAGAUCCAGAGAGUAGCUCUCUUCCUUGUAUAGACAUUUUUACUAAUGAAAAUUUCCUUUGUAAAUAUAAAAUUUCUUUACAAAAGGGAAAUUUAGACUUUAUUUUGGAUAGUUGAGGGGGAGAUAAAGAGCUUUCCUGGAAUCAGCUGGUUCUCAAUUACCUUUAGCUCCAAAUAAUCAAUAUGCCAAAAUGGCAUAUUUUGGGCUGUGCCCAACUUGUUCAAAGGGCAACUGUAUUACUACAAUCAAUUUUUUUACCCAUAGAACAUGUCUGACACCAAAUAUGUGGGGUUUUUUUUCCCCAUGCCAACCAUCAAAUUCUCCUUCUCUCCAGAAACCAACUGGUUGUCCAACAAUUCAAUUCAAUUCAAUUCUGACACUAGCUACCUGGUGUUAGUAUCAGAUGGCACAGGUGAAAAGGCCCAGUCUCACAAGUACUUAAUUUCAAAGUACUGGAUCCACAGGACUUCAGAUGCCAAUCACAAGUCUGAGCCUCCCAUAUUUCUGCCUUAAUGGCUAUAAAUUGGGGGUUUCCACGACCCUCUUCUCAGGUUCAAUAAUUUGCUAGAAGGGCUUGUAGAACUCAGGAAAUCAUUAUACUUACAUUUAGCAGUUUAUUUAUAAAGGAUAAAGAUGAACAGGCAGAGGACAAGGUGUGAAACAGGGGAGAUGUGCAGAGCUCCAGUGCCCUCCCUGGGCACCCCACCCUCUCAGUGUAACUGCAGCAGGUCCAUUGCGCCCUGUGCACAGCAAGUCACUAGGCAGAGACACCAGGGUGCAGCAGAGAAAGAGGUUUAAUUGUAGGGUCUCCAAACUAGGAGAUGGGAGGAAACCUCAACUCCAUCUCUCCAAGGAGUCUAGGGCUGGGGAUUCUGAGGGUUUUUUGUUUUUGUUUUGAGCUGGAGUUUCACUCAUCCCCAGGCUGGAGUGCAGUGGCACCAUCACGGCUCAUUGCAACCUCCACCUUCUGGGUUCAAGCAAUUCUCCUGCCUCAGUCUCCAGAGUAGCUGGGAUUACAGAUGCCCACCACUAUGCCCAGCUAAUUUUUGUAUUUUUAGUAGAGAUGGGGGUUUCAGCAUGUUGGCCAGGCUGGUCUUGAACUUCUGACUUCAGGUGAUCCACUCGCCUGGGCCUCCCAAAGUCCUGGCAUUACAGGCAUUAGCCACCACGACCAGCCUGGGGCUGGAGAUUUUAAGGGUUUUAGAGUAGGCUAGGUGUGAAGAUUAUUGAUUGGUUGACGAAUGCAGGGUAAAGAAGCUGUAUUCUCAUGCUGAUUCUAUUUCUCUGUGGGGGUCUUCAAACUGGUUGGUGUCAGUGGUUUCACUGGAGUUUGGGAUCUGAAAACAUCUUAAGCAACCUUUAAACAAAAGCCAUAUGAUUCUUACAUUGGUGAUCCCGUCUAUAGGAACAAUGGGGAUGCAAAUGGACAGUAUCCAGUGCUAUUGACUUUCAGCAACAAGGAAGUGAGCCAAAGUGCAGACUUAUUUAGGCUUAAUUAUGAUGUAAUUUCUGCCCAGAACUCAGCAUGAAUCCUUGUCAACCCUGUGGGGAUGGCUUCAUCAGUGGCUCAAUGUGUUUGCCAACUCGGAAGCUCUCUGAAGCCCUUUGUUUAGGGUUUUUAUGGAGGUUCUAUUACAUAGGCGUAAUUGCUUAAAUCACUGGCCAUUGGUGAUUUACUCAAUCCAGCUUUUCUCUCCCCUCCCUCAAUGGUGAGUAGGGCUGAAAGUUCCAAUCCUCUAAUCACAUGUUUGGUUCCUCUGGCAACCAGUGCCCAUCCUGAAGCUAUCUAUGGGCUUCCAGCCACCAGUCAUCUAAUUAACAUACUUCAUGUACCCUCGAAAGGAGCUUGUUGUAAAUAACAAAAGAUGCUCCUGUCACCUUGAUUACUCAGAAAAUUCCAAGGGUUUUAGAAGCUGUGUGCCUGGAAUCAGGGAUAAAAGCCAACCAUUUUAACAUAAAAAUGCUUCUGUCACUCUUGUCACUCAGGAAGUUACAAGAAUUUUAGAAUCUCUGUACCAGAAACUGGAGAUGAAGACCAAAUAUAUAUUUCUUAUUAUAUCACAAUAUCACAGUCCUUAUCAGGUUGCCAGUUGAAAAGAGAAAGUUGUCCAAAAGUCACAUUUUCAUGUAGGAAAGAAAAGGUUUUUGCUAACACUUCACCCACAAGCUUCUUCUUCUUCUUUUUUUUUUUUUUUUUUUCGCUUUUUUUCUCAGUAGGAUUUUUUUUUUUUUUACUUACGACCUUCUUUAUCAACAAAGUAACUCAUCAUUGGAAUCUGUAUACUCUGUUUAUAUUUUCAGUAUACAUUAGUUGGCCAAAAUUUAGGUGUAAAAGUAGGGAUAGCAACAAAAAAGAAAAAUCAUUUCUGCACCAUAGCAGUUUAAAUGGAUGUGCCUGGCAACCUACUGUAAACCAAAAAUAACAUUUGAAGCCCCCCUCAACCAUCUGAAUGGAUCCCUCUUCUUAGCCAAGGGCAUUCCAAAGUUAACCUGAAAAACUAUUCUGGCCAUAAUGGGAAGUGCUGUUGGACAUGCCUCAUUCUACCCUCCUCCCUUUUGGAAUUACUGAUAGAACAGACCUUUUUAAGUCUGAUAAGAAACAUUUAUAAUCUAUUCUCUCUGAAACCUGCUACCUGGAGGCUUUACCUGCAUGAUAAAACCUUGGUCUCCACAACCCCUUAUCUUAACCCAGACAUUUCUUUCUACUGAUUCUAAGUCUUUAGACAAUAACUAAACUCGGAGAAAGAAAAUAGAAUUCAGCAAUAUUACAAAGAAAUGAAGCGCAUGAAUUCCCAAUUUCAAGGGACCAGCGUAACAGGCAAAGUAAAGAUCCACUCCAAAGCACAUAAUUAUAAAAUAUCAGAACAUUGGGGACAGAAAGAACCUAACAGAGAGGAAAACAAAAUCACUGGAAAGGAUAAAGAAUUGGAAUGGUAUCUGACUUCUCAGCAGCAACUGUGAUAGUAAAGGUCAAUUAAAAAAUGUUUUUUAAAAUGAAAAUUUAUAAGUUCACAUUUUAUUUAGGUUGAAAUAAGCUGUACAGAAUUGAUAUUUCUAACCAAAAAUAACGGCCAUAUUUUCUUUUUCUUUCUUUUUUUUUUUUAAAGAUGGGGUUUCACCAUGAUGGCCAGGCUGGUCUUGAACUCCUGACCUCAGGUGAUCCGCCCACCUUCGCCUCCCACAGUGCUAGAAUUACAGGCAUGAGCCACUCUGCAACCUCUGCCUCCUGGUUUCAAGUGAUUCUCCUGCCUCAGCCUCCCAAGUAGCUGGGAUUAUAGGUGCCUGCCACCACACCCGCCUAUUUUUUUUUUUUUUUUUGUAUUUUUAGUAGAGACGGGGUUUCACCAUGUUGGCAAGGCUGGUCUUGAAAUCCUGACCUUGUGAUCUGCCCUCCUUGGCCUCCCAAAGUGUUGGGAAUACAGGCGUGAGCCACUGUCCCCGGCCAAUAAUAGCCGUAUUUUCUAUCAUAUUUAUAGAUAUGAUAGAAAACAUUUAUACUACAAAACAUUUGUUGUAGCCAGUUUUUCAGGUUUUGAUUUUGAGUCUAGAUGAGGUAGACAUAGUUAUGAAAAAAGAAGAGACCAGACACAUCAGCUGUCUGUAUCCAGGGCUUCUGAUUCUGUCUUGACCAUGAAACUAAAACCCGAUGAAAAGCUUAUGACUUGGGAAGACAUCAGCUCAACAAAGCAGUACAAACAGCAACAAGCAGAAUGAGAACAACGAUGCCAGGCUCUUCCAUUCAAACCUGUUCUUUCAGGGUCACUUGAUAAAGAUCGGUCUUACAAUGACACCCUUGUUGGGUGAGCUGCUUCUCUCACUCUCUGGUAGUUCUCACAACUGUGCAUUAUAGGUUUUUAACAGUAUCCGUAAAAGUCCUACUAGGGAAAAGUGAGUUGUCAGAGUCACUGUGACAUUUUAUAAAACAUAUUCAUUCCUCCUACUCCUACCCAAAAUUUAUUCCUUCAAAGUACUGAUACCUAACUUAAUUUCAAAGUACUGGAUCCACAAUGAUACUAAGUGCUGUGUCUGAAAUUAUUUUAAAACAAUUCUACCAGCCUGGGCAAUAUGUCAAAAACCUAUCUCACCAAAAGAUACAAAAAUUAGCCAGGCAUGGUGGCGUGUGCCUAUAGUCACAGCUACUCAGGAGGCCAAGAUGGGAGGAUCACUUGAGCCUGGGAGACUGAGACUGCAGUGAGCUCUGCACUCUGCAGUGGACUGCCACUGCACUCCAGCCUGGGUGACAGAGUGAGAGUCUGUCUCAAAAUAAAUAAAUAAAUAAAAUUUAAAAAAUAAAAU